rnacentral:rRNA from 1 species
UUUAAAGAGAGUUUGAUCCUGGCUCAGGACGAACGCUGGCGGCGUGCCUAAUACAUGCAAGUCGAACGAACGGAGGAAGAGCUUGCUCUUCCAAAGUUAGUGGCGGACGGGUGAGUAACACGUGGGCAACCUGCCUGUAAGUUGGGGAUAACUCCGGGAAACCGGGGCUAAUACCGAAUGAUAAAGUGUGGCGCAUGCCACGCUUUUGAAAGAUGGUUUCGGCUAUCGCUUACAGAUGGGCCCGCGGUGCAUUAGCUAGUUGGUAGGGUAAUGGCCUACCAAGGCAACGAUGCAUAGCCGACCUGAGAGGGUGAU